rnacentral:rRNA from 1 species
UACGAAGGGUGCAAGCGUUACUCGGAAUUACUGGGCGUAAAGCGUGCGUAGGUGGUUCGUUAAGUCUGAUGUGAAAGCCCUGGGCUCAACCUGGGAAUGGCAUUGGAAACUGGCGACCUAGAGUGCGGUAGAGGGUAGUGGAAUUCCCGGUGUAGCAGUGAAAUACGUAGAGAUCGGGAGGAACACCCGUGGCGAAGGCGACUACCUGGACCAGCACUGACACUGAGGCACGAAAGCGUGGGGAGCAAACAGG